UGGGGAAUAUUGCACAAUGGGCGAAAGCCUGAUGCAGCAACGCCGCGUGAGUGAUGAAGGCCUUCGGGUUGUAAAGCUCUGUCUUUUGGGACGAUAAUGACGGUACCAAAGGAGGAAGCCACGGCUAACUACGUGCCAGCAGCCGCGGUAAUACGUAGGUGGCAAGCGUUGUCCGGAUUUACUGGGCGUAAAGGAUGCGUAGGCGGAUUUUUAAGUGAGAUGUGAAAUACCCGGGCUUAACUUGGGUGCUGCAUUUCAAACUGGGAAUCUAGAGUGCGGGAGAGGAGAAUGGAAUUCCUAGUGUAGCGGUGAAAUGCGUAGAGAUUAGGAAGAACACCAGUGGCGAAGGCGAUUCUCUGGACCGUAACUGACGCUGAGGCAUGAAAGCGUGGGUAGCAAACAGGAUUAGAUACCCUGGUGGUCCACGCCGUAAACGAUGAGUACUAGGUGUAGGAGGUAUCGACCCCUUCUGUGCCGCAGUUAACACAAUAAGUACUCCGCCUGGGAAGUACGAUCGCAAGAUU
rnacentral:rRNA from 1 species